rnacentral:rRNA from 1 species
CGUACACUCCUACGGGAGGCAGCAGUGGGGAAUAUUGGACAAUGGGCGCAAGCCUGAUCCAGCCAUGCCGCGUGAGUGAUGAAGGCCCUAGGGUUGUAAAGCUCUUUUGUGCGGGAAGAUAAUGACGGUACCGCAAGAAUAAGCCCCGGCUAACUUCGUGCCAGCAGCCGCGGUAAUACGAAGGGGGCUAGCGUUGCUCGGAAUCACUGGGCGUAAAGGGUGCGUAGGCGGGUCUUUAAGUCAGGGGUGAAAUCCUGGAGCUCAACUCCAGAACUGCCUUUGAUACUGAAGAUCUUGAGUUCGUGAGAGGUGGGUGGAACUGCGAGUGUAGAGGUGAAAUUCGUAGAUAUUCGCAAGAACACCAGUGGCGAAGGCGGCUCACUGGCCCGAUACUGACGCUGAGGCACGAAAGCGUGGGGAGCAAACAGGAUUAGAAACCCGGGUAGUCCCAUGAU